rnacentral:rRNA from 1 species
UGGCUCAGAACGAACGCUGGCGGCAGGCUUAACACAUGCAAGUCGAGCGCCCCGCAAGGGGAGCGGCAGACGGGUGAGUAACGCGUGGGAACGUACCAUUUGCUACGGAAUAACUCAGGGAAACUUGUGCUAAUACCGUAUGAGCCCGAAAGGGGAAAGAUUUAUCGGCAAAUGAUCGGCCCGCGUUGGAUUAGCUAGUUGGUGGGGUAAAGGCCUACCAAGGCGACGAUCCAUAGCUGGUCUGAGAGGAUGAUCAGCCACACUGGGACUGAGACACGGCCCAGACUCCUACGGGAGGCAGCAGUGGGGAAUAUUGGACAAUGGGCGCAAGCCUGAUCCAGCCAUGCCGCGUGAGUGAUGAAGGCCCUAGG